UACGGGGGGCGCAAGCGUUGCUCGGAAUUAUUGGGCGUAAAGCGUACGCAGGCGGCUCGAAAAGUCGAGUGUGAAACCCCGGGGCUCAACCCCGGAAUGGCAUUCGAAACUGCCGAGCUUGAGUGCGGGAGAGGGAAGCGGAAUUCCUGGUGUAGAGGUGAAAUUCGUAGAUAUCAGGAGGAACACCGGUGGCGAAAGCGGCUUCCUGGCCCGAUACUGACGCUCAUGUACGAAAGCGUGGGGAGCAAACAGG
rnacentral:rRNA from 1 species